rnacentral:lncRNA from 1 species
AAAUGUGGUUUUUAUUGAAUUUGAAAUGCCAUGCCUGAAACAUAAAACUGAUAAGAGCACUAAGAGUGAAAUGAAACUAACUAGAUUCAACUUAUCAUAGCCUGAAAAUAAUGAAGUUCAACCUGCAAUCCUUUGACAGAAGAAAAUAAGGUGAAUUAUGAAGGAAAAGAAGUAUCUCAGCCCCAAGUGGCAAAUGAACCUCAAACUAUAGUUGAAUAUGAAAUAUAUGCUGAUUCUAAUAUAGACCCUUCAAUCGGUAAUUACCAAUUAGUCAAGGAUAGGGAAAGGAGACAAUCAAAACCUAAC